GAUGAACGCUGGCGGCGUGCCUAAUACAUGCAAGUCGAGCGAACAGACGAGGAGCUUGCUCCUCUGACGUUAGCGGCGGACGGGUGAGUAACACGUGGAUAACCUACCUAUAAGACUGGGAUAACUUCGGGAAACCGGAGCUAAUACCGGAUAAUAUAUUGAACCGCAUGGUUCAAUAGUGAAAGACGGUUUUGCUGUCACUUAUAGAUGGAUCCGCGCCGCAUUAGCUAGUUGGUAAGGUAACGGCUUACCAAGGCAACGAUGCGGAGCCGACCUGAGAGGGUGAUCGGCCACCCUGGAACUGAGACACGGUCCAGACUCCUACGGGAGGCAGCAGUAGGGAAUCUUCCGCAAUGGGCGAAAGCCUGACGGAGCAACGCCGCGUGAGUGAUGAAGGUCUUCGGAUCGUAAAACUCUGUUAUUAGGGAAGAACAAAUGUGUAAGUAACUAUGCACGUCUUGACGGUACCUAAUCAGAAAGCCACGGCUAACUACGUG
rnacentral:rRNA from 1 species